UGCCAGCCUCCGCGGUACUACUGAUUUUGCAAGCGUUAUCCGGAAUCAUUGGGUUUAAAGGGUCCGUAGGCGGGCUAUUAAGUCAGAGGUGAAAGUUUGCGGCUCAACCGUAAAAUUGCCUUUGAUACUGGUAGUCUUGAAUCAUUAUGAGGUGGUUAGAAUAUGUAGUGUAGCGGUGAAAUGCAUAGAUAUUACAUAGAAUACCAAUUGCGAAGGCAGAUCACUAAUAAUGUAUUGACGCUGAGGGACGAAAGCGUGGGGAGCGAACAGGAUUAGAUA
rnacentral:rRNA from 1 species